rnacentral:lncRNA from 1 species
UGUCGAGGAUUUUGUCUUUGUUAAGCUUUAGAGAGGAAGUAGGUAGGUAUACCAAAGAUAAUGUUUGUGCUAUGUUAGCAUGAGAUUCAUUUUUCCAAGCUGCUAGUAGCUUGUUUGGGGGUACUGUAGAAUGACAUUCUUUGGUGUCCUUCAGGGGACACCACGUAGAUAUAUAAUAUAUCAAGAAGUGCAUGCAAAAAUGCAAUUUUUCCACUUGGGGCUGCUAUCCUUCUGAUCAGUUGAACUCUACUGUCAUUGCGCUGGCUUAACUCUUCUGUGCAGUUGAUCUGAAACAUGUUGGUGACGCUGUUAGAAUCUCUCUCUAGUUUCAGGUUUUUUCAGGAUACUGAACUGGAGAGCUCUGUUGUGACUUGUGACACUCUUGCUGCCCUGACAAACAGGAGGAGAACAGUAUUCCAUACUCUAUUCCCUUUCUGUGAUUCCCAAAACCGUUCCAGCUCUCUGAACCAUCUGGUUGACAUCCCUGAAGCUGAAGAGUUUUUAACAAUGCAUCAGAUUAGAUGUUACAGUACUUGUAUGUGUAACUUGUUACAAUCAUUCCAAAUCGCUGCUUUAUCUUCUCCCUGCAUUAAACCAUAAUAGGGUUCAAAAUUUCGCUGAACUAUCGGCGAAAUUUCGCACUUUUCGAUGGUAAGCGAAAAAAAUAUUUCAUUCAAAAAGUGUCGGAAAAUUUGAUUUUUUGUGCCAUUAUAUAGAUCGGAUAGGGUAUUAUGAUCCCAAAUGAAGCAAUGGUCUGGCUCCUGUUGAGUCCAGGACGUCCAAAGGUUGAAUCCUACUUCGUCUGUGGUUUUUUUUUUCAUUUUUACUUUCACAGACAUGUGGGCUCCAUCUCUCUCACCGAAAUAAAAAAAAGAGUAGCGCAAUCUGGGCUUCGAACUCAGAGCGUACUGGAUCAGCAAAAUCAACAAAACCAUUGCUCUAUCUGCAUACCACUGGAUAUCCAUUGUGUAGAUAUGUUAAUAACAUUUAAAACAAUUUAAAUUUUUGAACAAAAAAAAUCCGAAUUUCGCGAAUUUCGGUGAUUUCGAAGGGGACCGAAAAGUUUUGAUAAACGAAAUCGAAAACCCUCCAUAUCUACUCUUUCGCAGGAUAUCCAACAUUGGCGUUUGAGACACGUGAAAUGAAUUCCACUGAAGCGGACACAACUUUUCCCUUUCGGUUCUGACACGACCGAGCGACCGGUACAUUCUCCAUUUUUGAGCACGUUUCCUUAUCCCCAAUCAGCACGAGCCAUGUGAUCUACCUACUGCAUUGUCAGGCUCAAACUCUGUUAGGUGAACAACACUAGGACUAGACGCCCAACUCACUGUACUCUCCGCCGAGUGCCGACCCAUCCCAAAUCCCCUGUCCCCAACUUCUUUCUGCAGGAGCGCCAUCAGCAACUCCUUUUCCGAUUCAUCAUCGGAUCAGAUGGCCCAUCACACAUUCACACGAUUCACCCCAUGCGGCCGCGCCUCGCCUUCCGCCGCCGCUGGCCACUGAUCUCAAGGCCUCACCGCCCCGGCGCGUCGUCGUCGGCGUCGUCCUCUCACCAGCUUUGGGGAAAGAGGUGCGCUGGACACUGAGCCGAGCACGGUGAGUGCCCCGCACACUAGCCCGGAUAAAGGCAGCUCCCGACGGCGACGGCGACGCGAUCCCAUUGUGGGAGCGAGCGAUGUGUGGAAGAGAAAUCCCGGCGGCCUCGGUGGCACAGGAGUGCACGCAACUUGUUCCUUCCUCCCUCCUGUAGCUGUGACUGCUGCUCCCUGUACCAGUCCGUGUAACAGCGAUCUGAUGCUAAUCCUUAUCGUGUUCUUGGCCUGUCUGUCACGCCUGCUGUGCGUUCUGAACCCUGAAAUUGACAUCAUGCGCAGGUUAUCCUUCUGAAAGAAAGAAAAUGUCUGUUGCUGUUGCUGUAGCGUUGUUGCAGGUCAAGGUGGUUCAGGGUCUCAGAGUUGAGAACGCGGCGGAGAGUGCUUGGCGUGAGGGGGAGUAUCCGUCCGAUCGUUUCCAUUUGCACGCGUGGAGCUGGAGAUGCUUAUCAGGGCACACGACCGACGGCGACGUCCCGCCGCGGGAUGGCGUCCGGCUGGGAGAUCCGGAGACGCUUGAUUCUGAUUAGUCUUCGUUUUCGUUCGGGAGUUGACGCUGGGAUUUGACAAAAAACGCUGAGCAAAUCUUGUGGCCUUCCUGAACCUGAAUCCAUACAGGCGGCACUGCACCUGAUCAUGAAAUUUGCAGCGAACGGAAGCGACAUCAAAGCACUCGUUUCGUCAACACUGGCGUACUGGCGCGUCCACUUGUAAACAGUUUCGGUGAUCGAGGGGGAAAAAAAAGGGGGGGAAGGCUCAUCAUGAAUUGCCGAGAUCGCAAGCUAACCUUCUGGAAAAUUCUGAUCGCGAAGCGUCGGAAAAAUUAUGAGAUUUCGCAUCAACGGCGAGGCCCAAAUCUUCCAAGUCCUAAAUGCGGCGAUCACGUGAAGAAAGCUUAACAGCACGGGAAGGUGGGCCCGCCCGAGAUGUUGGCGGCAGGACCGAUCGCUCUUCCGCGUCGAGUUGUUUUCGGCCCCGACCCCACGGCGGCACAGGCCCAAUCCGGUGCGCGUGAACGUAAGUGUAUACCACUCUGCGGCAAUUUUCAAAUGAAAUGCGUGGCUAAGAGCACCUCCAAGAGGCUGUUAAUCUUACCCUAAUACUUUUUUUUGGAAAAAGGGAAAAAAUGAACUCCAACAGUCCACCCAAACCUUCCCCAAUUUUUUUUAGCAAUGCUAAAAAAUAGUCUACCACCGCGUAUAUUUUAGCGUUGGCAUUCCUCCCCCAAUCCUGAUUCCCGCACGCUCGCGCGUCCCUUCCGAUGGGCCCGAUACGAUGACGUGGCCUGUUUUAAAAUAUUGGGGGCUAUUUAUUAGCGAUCUGCUGUGGAUUGAUAUGUUUUUGGGAAAAUAUUUUUGGAAGAACCCCAAUACAUAGUUUUGGGGAAGAAUUUUUUGAAGUACUCUUGGAAUUGCUCUAAAAGACCACUUGCAAGUGCUUCUAGCAAUGGAACUAUUUUCUUAUAACAAUGUGAAGGCUGCUAUUCUCACAUGAUAAUUGGACGUUCAAAAUUCAAAUAUAACCACUUUGGUCCUAAAGUACGAGUCCAUUAGACAGCAUCACGAUCUACACCACGAUACAUUGACCAAUAACAUCUAUACAAAUAUAUAAUUUCAAAUAACAAAAUAUUCAUAUUUUGAAAGUAUAGCAAGUUAGCAACGUGAUGUCACUAUACAAAAUGGUUAGAUGAUAGCAAAUGGGCUAAACAUUGCCUUUUGUGCCAUCGUAAUUAGAGGGGUUCCGUACGGAUUCCAAUCAAACCCACCGACAUUUUCUUAAAAACAUAGCUCCUCGAAAUGCAGCCGGGACGAAUGGACAAUGUACAUAUUGGCACCACACGACCAUAUCGAUUAACUCUCAACCAGGACACAGGGACGUGCCCAACCAAGCACCAUACCAUCUGAAAGGACAUUGUCCUGUGCCGUUGACCCCCUUCGAUCCGGCAACACACGGGUAGCCACCGCACGGGAUCGCCGGCUUUACGAGAUGACGGCAUCCGGUUCGUCACCCACCACCCGCGCCAAAUGACGCUUCUGCCGCCGGGGGGUGUCGCGGGUCGACGCGUCCACGUCGGGCGUAUGGGUCAAGAUUCCCCCCGGGCCGGACUGUGACUCAACGCGAACGAGUCGCCCGUUCCCGCGGCGGAAUUACUAAACUGCCCAUGUCUAUCCUGUCACGAGCAGCUCCAAAAUCUCAGUUUUCAAACCUAAAAGGAAAGCUUUGUCCAUUUCCAAAGAUAAUAGUGUUUCUCUUAAGAAGUAGGAACUGGGUUGCGGCACCGUUGACUUGUCGCCCGAGUGUUUUUCAAACAUAAUUGACGUGACUGGAAGGUUAGAUACAUACAUUUAGGGGUCGUUUGGUUCCCUUUGCUUAUUUUUAGCACGUGUCACAUCAAAUAUUUAGAUACUAAUUAGAAGUAUUAAACGUAGACUAUUUACAAAACCCAUUACAUAAGUGGAGGCUAAACGGCGAGACGGAUCUAUUAAGCCUAAUUAAUCCAUCAUUAGCAAAUGUUUACUGUAGCAACAUAUUGUCAAAUCGUGGACUAAUUAGGCUUAAUAGAUUCGUCUCGCCGUUUAGCCUCCACUUAUGUAAUAGGUUUUGUAAAUAGUCUACGUUUAAUACUCCUAAUUAGUAUCUAAACAUUCGGUGUGACGGGUGCUAAAAAUAAGUCGGUGGAACCAAACCAGGCCUUAGCUUAGAGUUUUAUAGCAAGUAUAUUGGUGUUGUCCAGUAACCGGUUUCAUCAUUAACACGUAAUCUUGAAAUGACUUAUCAAACAGCAUGUACAAUAUGUUGACUUUUUAAGUUGUCUCAUAUAGUAAUUUUAUUUCCUUAAUUUGUGCAUAGAAAAAAAAUAUUAUGAGUUGCGCAACCACAACUCCUACAAUGGUGAACUAGUUGUCUCAUAGUCCUAAAUCUAGCAUAUGAGGCGGUUGUUUUGCGAACGACCUCUUUCCCUUUCCUCAUCCUCUCUCCUCCACAUCAGCAAAAAUCCUACGUGGCAUUGCAUGAGAUGACCUAUGAGAUUGUUGAGGUGGGCAAGUACAUUGGUGUCGUCUAAUAGGCGGUCUCGUGCAUUGACACGUAAUCUUGAGACAACUCAAUAGGCAACCAGUUGUCUUAUAAGUUAUCUGGUAGAGCUAUAUAAUUCCUUAAUUUGUGCAUAUGAAAAAAAAGGAAAUGUAUGAGUUGCAUGGAAACAAUGACUCGUACAGUGGUUGUUGAGUUGUCUCGUAGUCCUACAAUUUAGCUCAUGAGGCGGUUGUUUCGUGAAACAACGACCUCUUUCUCUCCCCUCACUCUCUCUCCUCCACAUCAUCAACAAUCCUACGUGGCACUGCAUGAGACGAACUAAGAGACUGUUGACGUGUAGCAAUGUACUUACUCUAGGAGAGAGAAAAAAGAGCAUCACAGAAGAAGGAUUUCUUUUACUAGAUGUUCGUAUGUACACUUAUACUCAUUAUCAUUUUGAGCACCUCCGAUAGGCACGGCCUAUCAAUUUAUAAAAUAAAUUUAGGAAAAAAACAAACACUUACAUUGAGUUGAGAACAUGAACCAGGUUCCACCAUAAAAAACAAGUCAAGUAAAACUUGUCUUUUUAACUACUUAUAUUUUCUUAUUGAAAGUGUGUUUCAGAUAGGAGCCUAACAACGUCGGUUUUACAUAUCAAGAUUUUUUUUUUCAACACAAGUACUAUUAUCAAGAUUUUUUUUCCAAUAUGUAUGUAAGUCUAAACUUAGCCUCGUUCACUGUUGACUUGGCUAGUACCACUGGAGUGAGUUAUCAAAAUUUGUGCUACUCCUGCAAGAUUUUAUCAUCUCCUAGUUUUGCUAUAGUGACCAAUGCAUGUCCUAUGCUCCUAUGCACACGGGUCAAAAUCUAUAGGAUGCAAUUGAAAUGACACCUUUAAGUAAAUUAUUCAGGAAGCAAGAGCAUGAGUCGACAAGCACAAUAUACAUUCAAGGACAUGCCAUAAACGUGAGAACUAACGCACGCUAUACAAGCUAUAUUGUUUUAUUUUCCUUUUGAGCGGAAUAUCGAUCAGGUUAUUUUGUUGACAUCAAAAAGCAAGGGAAAAGGAUAGGAAAUAACGAAAGAGACAUCCAUUGUCAUUUUGCUCCCUCCAUUUUCUUUUGAUAGGGUUAUUUCCAAAUUUGAAAAAAUCUCUUUUGAUAGUCUUAUUUCAAUCCAAUUGUACAUCCACUUAAAAAUCUAUAAAUUUAAAAAAAAUUAUAACACAAGAUAAAGUGAAUAGAAUUUAUUUUAUCAUAUAGGAGUACCCUUACCACAAUGAUAAACGAGACAUUUGCCACCGCAAGCUAUUGGAGGGUAGUUUGGACAUUUGGCUCAUCCAGCAAAUCCGUUUAGGUGGCAGAGAAAGCUGGGCUGAUUUUGAUAGGCAACGAAUCACCGGCUAAUUAUUGAUACUCGGCCGCUAAUUUUCUAACGGUGCAGUUGACGGUGUCAGACCCGUAAAGCUAAUCUUUGUCGUUUUCAGCUUUGAGGAAGAGGUUGCAGCUUUGUGUGACCCUAACCCUACACGGGCUGUUGCUUUCAAAAUAUCUUUGGUUAAGCUCCGAAGCUCCAAUCUGCGUUCUAGUCUAUGAUAAAAUUUGACUUAGGAGGAUAACUUAUGAUAGAACCAUCACUAUAAUGACUUGUGUGGUAUCUGGUGGCAUAUAUAUACGGCAGGAGUUGGUUUCGCACUCCAACAUUAUUGGAGUCUUAAAAAACUAACAUAAAGCUGCAUGGACCAGCUAGCUCUAUAAUAACCAUGGUUUAAGAAUUAAGAUAAGGUGUACUAUGAACAUUAAUUUCAACAUGAUUUUAUGAUGUAAUUCACAAAAAAGUGUAGGCAUGUGCUACUCACUACUUCCUCCGUUUCAAAUUGUAGGUCGUUUUGAUAUUUCUAGAUUUAUAGAUUUUGCUAUGUACCUAAAUAUACACUUAUGUCUAGAUACGUAGUAAAAGUUAUGAAUUGAGAAAUUGUACGACGACUUACAAUUUGGAACGGAUGAAGUACUCAUUUAGUGCAUGAUACUCUUAACAAAUAAUCAAGAUUGACACUAAGGAGUAUCAUUUAGUGCCUACUACCUCCGUCCCAAAUUAUAGGUCGUUUUAGUUUCCUAAAUGCAUAGAUAUUAUUAUGCAUCUAGACAUAGGGUAUAUCUAAGUGCAUAAUAAAAUCUAUGAAUAUAAAAAAAGUCAAAAUGACCUGUAAUUUGAAACGGAGGGAGUACUAAGAAAGCACAACAUUAACACUUCAAAAUAAUACAAUCCAUAGCGAAAGCAUUUGUGCUAGGAUGGAAAGCAAGUUGUUUCUUGACAUUUGACGUUUGAACAGGGGAUUUUGUGCGGGAUCCGGCACCUCUUCGUUGUGCUCCAAAGAUAUACUUUGGUAGUUGACUCAUAAACAGGGGUGGAUCUAGAGGAAAUUAUCGUUGGGGUCACUCUCAUUCUACUGCAUAUCAUUGACAAUUUACAUGGUCUAAAUUACUGAGUAGUGAGUACUAGGAUGAUUCACCACGAUUGCAUCAGCACCAUUGCACCAAUUCAACGACGUGAAAGAGAAAGACCCCAGGCACAUAAAAGUCGAACCUGAUAAAAUAUUUUCUGCUAUAUCAGCAGAAAUUCACAGUCUUAUUAUGCAGUUCGUGAAAAAAACAUAGAAACAGUGCAGCAAAACGUGAGGCCAGGAGAUGUUCCGUUUCCCCGCGGCGUCUAAUCCAGCAUCACCGUCACGUCUGGGUGAUUAGGCCCCCAACAUCGAUUCAUCCCCGCGAAAGGCCAACACGGCCCGGCCCCGCCCACAGCGCGCACACGACGCGACGCAGAUAUCUUCUUCUCCCCCCUCGUGCGCGGGGCCCACCUCCAUCACAUGCACAAAAUCGACAGCGGGCCCCACGGCCCACGCCGAAACCCGCACCCCCCCCCUCCCAGGAAAUAUUAUUUAAUCCUAUUUCGCUUGGUUCCCAGCCCCCCACGUGUUCCCGACCCGCCACGUCACCAUCCCCCACCUACUACUACAUGUAGCGCCCCCACCACCACCAUGCCGCGCGCGCUCCCUCCCCUCUCCUCCCCCCACCACCACCACAAGAACCGCGUCAACACCACCUGCCAUUGCCGCGCCGAGCUGAGCCUCUAGCCGCGCCAGGAGGGCGCCCGCCUCUGCCUGCCUGCCUGCCGACAUCUUCGGUAGUUGAUGGAGUUGCACAAGUACUGGGGCGUCGGUGGCAGGCGGUGCGGCAGCUGCGACGCGGCGCCGGCGGCGGUGCACUGCCGCUCGUGCCCCGCGGGGGGCGCGUUCCUCUGCACGGCUUGCGACGCGCGCCCGGGGCACGCGCGGCUCGCCCACGAGCGCGUGUGGAUGUGCGAGGUCUGCGAGCUGGCGCCCGCCGCCGUCACGUGCAAGGCCGACGCUGCCGUGCUCUGCGCCGCCUGCGACGCCGACAUCCACGAAGCCAACCCGCUGGCGCGCCGCCACGUGCGCGUCCCCGUCGCGCCCAUCGGAUCGGAGGCCGCGGCCGCCGCCGUCGAGGCCAUGCUUUUCGGGACCGCCGAGGCGGCCGCGUCCGAGGCCGAUGAGCCGCACAACGCCGCGGCCGCGGCGGCGGCCGGGCACCAGCACCAGCACCACCACCAGCACCACGCGCUGAACCUCAACGUGGAGGCCAAGGACAUGAAGCUCGACUACCUCUUCUCCGACCUGGACCCCUACCUCAGCGUCGAGAUCCCGCGCUUCCAGCACGCCGACAGCGUCGUCCCCAACGGCGUCGGCGCCGGCGCCGGGGGUGCCAUCGAGCUGGACUUCACGUGCGGCAUCGGCGUCAAGCCCUCCUCCUACAGCUCCUACACGGCAACGUCCCUCGCGCACAGCGUAAGCAGCUUCGUCUUCCCUUGCUUUUGCCUUCGGACACAUAAACACGUCCUGGAAACGCGUGCUGAUGAAUCUUGCCGGUACCUUGAUGCUCUUGCAGGGCUCAUCGUCGGAGGUCGGCGUGGUGCCAGAGGCCUUCUGCGGCGGUGGCGGCGGGAGCUUCGAGCUCGACUUCACCCGGCCCAAGCCCCAAGCCUACAUGCCGUACACCGCGACUCCUCAGAGUCACAGCGUAAGACCCCAACCAAGCUCCGACCUUCCGGACGCACACGUGUAGACACGCCAUGUAGUACACGUACUGAUCAUGUAGAUGCGAACUCGGUUCUCUAUGCAGGUGUCGUCGGUUGACGUGGAGGUGGUGCCGGAGCGGGGGGACAUGGCGGCGGCGAGGCCGGUGCCGCUGAUGGGGGAGAGCCGGGAGGCGCGGCUGAUGCGGUACAGGGAGAAGCGGAAGAACCGGCGGUUCGAGAAGACCAUCCGGUACGCGUCCCGCAAGGCCUACGCCGAGACGCGGCCGCGGAUCAAGGGCCGCUUCGCCAAGCGCGCCGACCACGACGCCGACGCCGACGACGCUGAGGCCGAGGCCGCCGUGCCGUCGUCGUCGUACGUGCUCGACUUCGGCUACGGCGUCGUGCCAAGCUUCUGAUGAUGGCGAUGGUCUCGGUCCACGGAUGGCCGGCCGGCGGCGCCGCGCUUGACCCGGCUCUCGAUGGCGCGCCAGCCUUGUACUUGUAUCGAUGUAUAGGGGAGGAAUAGUAAUCCCAUGUACUCUCUUUCUGCAUUGAGCUAGCCUUAAGUACGCUAGUGAUGUAUAAUUUGUAUACUACUGCUGCUGCUUACUAGUACUAUAUAGCAUGUUUUUGCUAGAAUUUGCCCUCGGUAUUUUUGAAUCAUAUAUCUCUGCAAGAAAUUUGCAGUAAUAUACAGAUGCUACUGAGGAGGAACGGCAAUCCAUUAUUAUGUUAAGUUAAUGGUGUUUAUCAUCAAGUUCGUAGCAAUGCAUCAUCUUAAGUUAAUGGUGUUUAUCGUCAAUUACCCUACAGAUCUGCAGACUAGAACGUAGAUGAAUUGGAUAAAAUGUUUUUGAUAAUUGUUCUAAUUGGAUAAUAUUCAUCAAUCAUCAUCUUAGCACAUUGGAUGCCUCGGCUGGUCAUUGUUACGUUGGGCGGUUGGGGAGUAGUGACUGUCUUUGUUGAACGUAACUCACAUUUGAUCCAGUACAUUAUGCUGGGAGGCACGUGUAGUGUAGGGAUGAAAAAUUUGAAACUUUUUGGGUCAUUGAGUCGGCCCAAACCUGAUGAAAAUAAAAUGGUCCGGAUCUCAAAGCAAGAAUAUGGAACGAAAAUGUUUCUAGGUCACAUAUUCUUCAUCCAUACAUGCUGAUUCAUUCGUUCAUUCAUCAUUUUCUUUCUUGCUCAUGUUCAUUAUACUUUAAUAAUUGACCCAUAUUGUACAGCAAUGCUACCUCGAUGUACGUACCCUAUUAAUCAAAUAUCGAUCCACCGGCAGCGCGACCUUCCUCUUAAGUUUUGAGGGUACAAAUAAGUGGAUAGUAAUUAAGAAUCUCCGAUUCUCCAUUGGAGAUCGAAGAAAAUGGUUAGGAAAUCCGUACCCCUCGGUCCCAAAUUACCAGUUGUUUUGUCUUUUCUAUGUUUAUUUCUUUUGCUAUGCAUAUAGAUACAACAUAUAUUUAGGUGCAUAGCAAAAUCUAUGAAUAAAGAAAAGCUAAAAUGACUAAUAAUUUGGGACGGAUGGAGUAUAUAGUUCGGUAGUUAUGGGCAUUAAAAUAUGUGAAUGCUUAUUAGCAACUCUAAACAAACUUCCAAUGUUUUUUCCGCUAAUUUGCUUUUGACGAUUAUAUCUGGCCCAAUUCCAUGAAUAUAUACAACACACUAGCCUCUACUCUACUCCCUCCGUCCCAAAUUACUAUUCGUUUUGACUUUUCUAAAUACCUAACCUUUGCUAUGUAUGUAGACAUAUCGUAUAUCUAGGUGCAUAGCAAAAGCUAUGAAAAAAAGGUAAACGAAUAGUAAUAUGAGACGGAGGAAGUGCUACUGUACGAUUUUAUUGACAAAGACUUGUCAUUAUCUAAAAAACCCCCGACAUGAUAGUAUCAAAAUGGCCCAUCUCGAAAUGGGCCUAGGGGUCACGACUCUAACCCAAAACUGAGGCAAGACAAAAGAAUAGCUACAAUUCCACGUCCAUGUACGUGUACGUCCAACAGGAAAGUCAGAACCAGUUUAAUGGUUUUGCAUUUUGCCAUUUGUCACUCUGCAUCAGCAUCACUACCAAAGAGGCAAAGACUAGGAACAAAACUUGCGAACAAUUCGAGGCAAUCACAAACCUCAAAGUCAAAAUACGACAGCAUUAUGCUUUCCUUGAUUUUUGGAGGAAGAUUUGGAAGAUGUACGCUAACUAGGCAGACUUAUCUAAAUGAUAGCGGUAUGCCGUAACCUUCAUCUAAAAACCGAUGUUCUUGCCUAAGGUCAAGUUUGAGAAACGAGAGCAUCCACAGUAAUGCUCAUUCGUUUAUUGUUUGUCUGUCAUGUUACCCGGCCGGCUACACCUACAAGCUAGGGUACUGCAAAUGACACCACUUGGUUGUUCAACGAUAAACGUUGCCACAUGCCGUCGUCAUUUGUACGAUUAACUCAAUUGAAUUUUAGCUUACAAGAACUUCAACAAUUAAGUCGUUACACAAAUCACAAAAUAAUGCAUGAUUCAACAGGUGACCAAUUCUGAAACUAAUCACAAAAUUAGAAUGUUCAUAGAUAGAGUACAUAAUCAGAUCUUGAUGGCAUUAGCAUUUCCUGAGAACCUCUUAGCGUACGGGUCGUGCAUGGUCUGCACCGCGGGCAUGGCGCCAAACGCCCCGAAGUUCAUGCUGCUCUUGUCGUCGAUCAACGAGUACUCCUCCACCUCCUCCUCGUCAUCGAUGUCAUCUUCCUCCUCGUCGCCGUCCUCAGGCUCGCCGUAGUACGAGCUGCUCUUAUCCAUCUCCAUCAGGUGGUCCGUGUACUUGACGCUCUGGAUCCUCACCGGCGGCCGGUCGCCGCCUUUGCCGCCGGGCACAUCGGUAUCCUCCCCGCGCAGGAUGCGGACGACGGUGCGCAUGUCCGGGCGUCGGUCGGGCUCUCCCUGCACGCAGAGCGCGGCGCACUCGACGACGCGAGCGAGCUGGUCGGCGUCGAACGCGCCCCGGAGGCGCGGGUCGACGAGGUCCCCGAGUCGGCCGCGCGCGAUGAGCGGCUCGGCCCACUCGGUGAUGGUGCGCUUGGCCCCCGACGGCAGCCGCUCGAUGGGCUUCCGGCCGGAGACGAGCUCGAGGAGGAGGAUGCCGAAGCUGUAGACGUCGCAGGCGCCGGAGACCUUCCCCCACAUGGCGUACUCGGGCGCCAGGUAGCCCAGCGUGCCCUUGACGCGGGUGGUCAUGUGCGAGACCCCCUCGGGGACGAGCUUUGCGAAGCCGAAGUCGGCGACGAGCGGCGCGAAGUCGGAGUCGAGGAGGACGUUGCUGGCCUUGAUGUCGCGGUGGAUGAUGUGGGGCGCCGCCUCGUGGUGGAGGUAGACGAGGCCCUCGGCGGAGCCGACGGCGACGGCGACGCGGCGGGGCCAGUCGAGGCGGGUCUCCGCGGCGAACUGGCCGUGGAGGUGGGAGAGGAGGCUGAGGUUGGGCAUGUAGUCGUAGACGAUCAUGCGGUGGUCGGUGCCGGGGCCGCCGGCGCAGUAGCCGCGGAGGCCGAGGAGGUUCCGGUGGCGCACGCGGGCCAGCACCUCUACCUCCACCGCGAACUCCAUCUCCGCCUUGGAGUUGUUGGUGGCCUUGAGCCUCUUCACCGCGAUCUGCAGGCCGUCAGGCGUCUUGCCCCAGUAGACGCUGCCGAAGCCGCCCUCGCCCAGCUUGUUCUCCUCGCUGAACCCGUUGGUCGCCGCGUGCAGCUCCUUGUAGCUGAAGAUCCUCCACGUGCUGCUCAUGGACGACGCGCUCACGCACCUGACGAUUACAUUGAAAACCGCAGCAGAAAUCAAAUCGAUCGAUCAAAUGGUCUCAUGAGCCUCGAGUACGCAGCAAGCAUCGAGCAUCUUUGUCAAUGAAGUAAAAUUGUCGUACAGGAACGUAAACGCACGUACCCUACUUGCUCGACCUUCUCGGAACCGCAGCAGGAGCUCAACGACGAGCCCAUGGCGGCGACGGAGGCAGUCCGGCCGGCGUGGACGACGUCGGGGACGAUGCCUUUGCUCGUUUCCUUUCCGACGAUGGGGCACGCACAGCUCGACCGGCCGGUGCGUGCGUCUCCCUCGUUCUUGCUUUGUCGCGCACGCUGAUCUAGCUGCUUGGCAACGGCUACUUGUGGGGUUUGGGUUUGUGCCUAGGAGUGAACGAAGAGUGGUGCAGAGACAGGGGGCGAGUGAGAGGAGUACUUAUGCUGUUGGCAGGUCUCUCGAAACCGUCCACGGCCGGCGGACAUCUUGAUGCACCAUUUGUUGAAUCGUGCCAGCACUCUUGGGAUUUUUCUAAUUGGAAGAAAAAACCGUGCCAGUACUAGCUCUGGGUUGACCUGGUUUUGGCGAGUGAGGUAGAACAACUGCCACGUGGAGCAAGGGCACUGGGCGGGGCGCAGUCAAACCGGCGCCGAUUGCAAGCAAGCUGCCGCCAACUUUGUGUCGCUUCCGUAGUUUCCGUGCUCCGCAGCUGGACAAAUAACAGGCCCGCAGGCCGCAACCAUGCUGCUGGGCCGCUGGCUGGCUGAUCUGGGCUGGUUAGGCUGGUGGGCCGCGAGAAUGGAAGCGGUCAUCAUCGAUGGGCUGCUGCAUGGCCUCGGGCCACCCACCAUACAUACGGCCGACGUGUGUGAAUGAAAAUGGGCCGGUGAGGGCCCAAGCUUGAGUCAUUUUGCGCCGCCCUGCAUUUGCAGCAGCAUCCAGAGACCAGAUUUCAAGAGAGUCCACCGAAAACAAAAAAACUUUUUUUUUUGAAAUGGAGUGAAAACAAAAAACUUCAGAACAAAAAUGGCUUCUGAUCGAAGCACAAACCCGGCAAGGGAUCAGGACCUGGUUAUGGGCACUGAAUCACACUGAUGGAAGGAAGACCGAUCCGUUCCAGAGAAUCAAAUCAAAUCCCUCCGGGACUUGGCUGGCACGCUCCGGCACGUCAGGGGCAUCUGAUCCAGCCGGCAGUCCAGUCCUACUCCUAAAUUCCUUGUGCUUCAGGUGCCCUCCCACUAGCAACAAUAUACAAGGGCACAGCACGGAGCACGCCUGGGCGCCUGGCACAGGUGGAAUCCGGGAAUCGGAAUCCGAGUCCCCACGGAAACAGGGACGGUGCGAAAGGGCCUUGGAUGAAAGCCUGAGAUACCAAUUCCUCCGCCGAGAGAAAAUGUUCUUCGUAUACUCUCCUACACAGCUGGGGCCGGAAUAAGCUGGGACCUGGGAUCGGCACGGGACACGACCGAAGCCGCCGCGCACGUAGACUCGGGAAUCAGCACUAUUUUUUGGGAUAAACUCGGGAAUCAGCACUCAGCAUCGACCAUGGGAGUGGAAAAUGUGACCGGAGACGGGAUCGGUCGUCGAGCGGACAUGGACAGGACAGGCGACCUCUCCGCGGCCGCAUGGACAUCCUCGCCGGCGGCUCUGCUGCUGCUACGUCGCCGGCUCGUCGUUCCUGCAAUCCAGGUGCGAAUCCGGCUGCAAAUGGGGAGGAUCCGAACGACCGAAUCGGAAAUCAUGCGUAGGCAUGGUGGUUCGAGUCUAUCCCCGUCAGUGCAUAAGUGCUUGUGAGAACACCAGCUACGGCCAUGGCGAAUGGAUGCAUCCAAAGAAUCCGUGCCAGUGGCAACAGCAUGCGAACGGAUUCUUCGUACGCGUGAGACCGACCGGUCCAGCACCAGCAGUUUUGUUAUUCAGAGGACCGCAUGAUCCGGCGCCGGUCGCAGGAGAUGGCGGAUAAGCACGAACUGACACUGACUCGGAGCUUGCCGCAACAGAAAUCUGCCAUAUCGAGCUGAGCUGACACAGUUGUAACUGCGCCCUGUCUGCCUGCAUCUGCAUGGGACAGGCCACGAUCGAUGACGUUCCAAUCUUGGAGGGGCUUUGAUGUCUCUAUCUGCAGGCCAGUGAAGGCGUCAGGCUGCUUAUUGAAGGAAGGUUGUGCGUGAACUGAUCGAGCGUGUGCGAGCUGGAUCGCUUGCGCUUAUGCAUAUGACAGCUAGCUUCAGGUAACUGCAUAUACAUCUCCAGCAUUGCCGGAUCGGAUAUGUGAACGGUUGGCUUAGAUCACACGAGCGGCCCUGAUCAGCUGAGCUCAUGAAGGAAAGCUCACUUAAUCACUUUUUUUUUUUGCUUCAGAAAUUGAUGGUCUCAUACGCAGAUACGCUUUGAGGCUACCGCGGAACUGCGGUCUAUUGAGCUAGCCAGCACGGAUGUUACACCAUCUAGGUGGCUGGGCCGGCAUGGCCAUCUGCAUCUCAACUCCCUGUCUCACUAUUUUUGUAUCUCUCAUCUACUUUCCCACCUCAGUGGCUCUGUUUUCGGAUGUUUCUUCAGCAAGACAGCAGAUUUACAACACAGAUGUGGUUAUUUGAGUUUCGUUGCCAAAAACCUCAAAGAAAAACAGUCCUUUUUUUAAGGAAGAAGUGGUAGCACAGCUAAUUCAUGUAAGAAGAAAGCAAAUCAAGUUUUACAAAAUAAUUAUAUAAGAUUACAUAUUAACUUUUCUCAAUUUGCAACAUAACGAAACUAGACUACUCGGCCGCUGUUGGUUGGCUCUUCUCUGAAAGAAUAAAUCAAACUAAUUUUCAUUUGUAUGUAUUUGUUUUGUCCUCCACUCCACCUUUUCAAAUUUCAAUAUCCUCUGGUCAAAGUAAUAACUCUCAACAUCCUUCGAGUCAAAUUGUACCUAGCAGUGCGAAAUGAGCUAUUAGAUGUUUUGUGGUGGAACCUAUCCACCCUAGUCCAAGUCUCUGGCUCAGUACGAGUGCUUGUAUUUACGACUAAUUAUUCCCUUAGCCUGGAAGGUGAUGUACUUAUCGACAACACUUGUGGUGACUGCAUCAAUGAAAUAUCCCUUGAUGUGUGUGUGGUGGUGAUGGGGUGGGGGGGGGGGGUGUGUUUGAAUAGGCAUUUCAGAAAAUUUAAACUAAAACAACGAAUUAAAUUCAGAAUCGGCUCAGCUGGUUUGAUCCGGUUAUAGGAACAAACAAAGGAUAAAACCAACAUAAAUCAACCAGUAGAAAUUGCAUUAAAAUAAAUUCCAGCAAGUAGAUUGCGUGAAGAACCCAAAAGUUAAACUAAAAACAAGAGUAUAAAUGAGAUGAACAACAAGAAUACAAGAGACACAAGAUUUAUUCCCCAAGUUCACUCUCAACAAGGAAGCUAUGUCUCCAUUGAUCGAGUAGCGUAUAAAGAGCCACAUCAUCACUAACUCUUUCCCCUUAGCGUCAAAUCCUUCACAAGGAUGGGGCAAUACAAACUUGUGGGGCUACCCACACAAGUUGGGUGCUCAUGGUGAUGCCUAAUUGUUUAGGAGUUUAAGACUCCAAGAGUAACAAACCCAAAUUAUAUUUGAUGGACUUCAAAACUCAAAAAGAUGUAAUGGAAGCUCACACUUGCCCAUUCAAAGGUGCCCUCACAAUCUCCACUUCAAAUCUAGUAAUGAAUACUCAGGAGUGGAUAAGAAGAGGAGUAAAAGCUAGUAGGCAUUUUGUCUUCUGUUAGUUUAAGUGAGCAAGAGAGGUACGAGAGAUAUGGUGAUUGGUGAAGGGGUAUAUACCCUGCCUCCAAAACAUUUCCACUACCUAUGCUUGACCAACAAAAACCGGCUAGCUAGAACCAUGCUCAAACACAAUCAAUGCAGUCAACUCUUAUGCAAACUGACUUGAGUCAGUCUAAAAUUUGCAAAUCUCACAGAGCUAGCCCUGAAACAGUCGAUUAAGCCAAGAGCAGUUGAGCCAGUGGAAACUGAUUGAGCCAAAAACAAAUUAACAAGCAACCUGGGCGCUUGAGCUACUCAGAUUCCGGAAGACCAGCUAAGGUAGAGCAGCUAGAAUAACAAGUUAGUAUUUUUAUUAUGAUGAUUGUGCGAGUAUAUUUAUGGGAUUGUUAGUGAUCACUUAAGCUUUGAAAUUUUUACAAGACACUCAAAUUGGAUCCCCUUGAUAGUACAAUAUCACAUGCUCAAAUUCAAAAAUAAAAUGCAAUUAACCCUUCAACCUAGAUCUGAAAGCAUCGCCAAUAUUUUUCUCUUUUUUAAAUAGGGGUAGUUGCCAUCAAUCUUUUAUACAGUUUUUUAUAUACAAUAUUCUCAUAUUCUUAAUAAACUCAUCACUACUUUAGUUUUUGUUUGUCAUUGAUACACAGAAAUUCACUUAAAAGAGAUGAAUGCACUUUUAGUCAAUCUCAAGAUAAAUCAUCCCAAUAUAUUAGAUGAUUUCAUAUGAGUAAGUAUGCUUGUAUAUAUAUAAGUUGUAAGCAUUUCAUUAGUAGUGUCUUUAUGUAAAAUAAGAAUGCAUGAGAAUGAUUUUCUUUCUGAUUGGCGUGCUACUCCUUUUGAUGAAAAGUAAUAUAUUGAUCAGUUUACACAAGGGUUAGCACUCUCGAAUGGAAAGAAAUGAAACUCAUGCAUUUAAUAUUUAACCUAAAUAAGAGAAAAAUAAGAAUAAACAAAGAAAAAUAUAUUAGGAUGGUGAGCUUUAUUAUAGCACCAAGAUCAGUUGUUUGGUUGAGUGAUCACUACAUUGGACUACAUUCACACUUUAAAUUUCUAAGUACACAUAAUACUACAACAUGGCAUUGCAUAUAAAGUGUUUAAAAGAUUUAUAUAUGUGAUAGCCUAUUUGUGCUUUUGAAAUUGCUCUAGAGAAACCAAGAUUAUAUAUGCUAUGAACCACUCGAACACAUAGGUUUGGCCCAUCCAUAUAAAUUUCUUCAUUCUUACAUGUUUCUUAUGCUAAUUUGAAGUAGUGAAAUUUCAUCUAUUAGGUUGUGAUAUAUGCUAAUAACAAUGGUGGUACCACUUCACCAGUGACAUCGUUGUUUUAUAUUUUUUAUGAAUUAUUUUAUAUAACAUGAUGAUUGUGUAGAAUUGAAUUGAAUAGUUUCAUUGUUUGAGCCUUAUGGGUGGGUUUAUAUAGAUUACAAGUUAGCUUAAAUAUCAAUCAAUUAUAGAGAUAUAUAAAUGUAUUAUAAUUACUAAUUGGAGAUUCUUUUGAAGCCUCCACACAAAUCCUCAUGGUGUCAACAAAUAACCAUUACAUAUAAUUCGCCCACCUGGACCACUAUGAAUAAUAAUAGCAUAAAACAACCCCCUCAAAUCAAUCCUUAACCUUAUAAUAACUAAUACUAUUAAUUUAAAUACUUACGUCUCUCGUUGGAUGUUUCCAGAUCCUUACCCUUUGACAUUUCCAAUCUUUGGAUGUUUUUGGGUGUUAGAUCCACGUCACCAUUAUUUGUCCUACGUGGAGCAGUAGAGGAGAGUUAAAGAGAGGGAAGAUUACCGGAUAUUAACUGGUAGUUAGUCUAUAUAACAUAAUCCAAGAGGCAUGCUGAAUUUAAUGGCCCUAUCACAUUUGCCCCAUAUUAAAUUGGGAGAGCAUAUGCUAUGGUUAGUUCAUUGGAGGGAUAUCUAAUGUGCCAUCUAUAUACGACACGAGCAACUCUUAUAGCCACUGAUUUUACUUAGAGAUGCUCCUAAUAUCACACUUUGCAGUUGAGGCGUGCAGGAACGGGCCCAGAAGGCCAGAAUAGAUCCCCUGCAGAUCAUCAUUUUCAUCUAGAGUGAAGGCACUGGUCAUGCAGUGGCUGCGAUCCCAUUUUCAGGCUCUUUGAGCUGUAACCUUUCCGAUUAACGUGGAAGUUGGAACUGCAUUCUGUUGGUCUCGUCAGCACGGAUGCCACUACCAGCAACAGCAAGGCCGGCAUGGCCAUCAGCAACUCUGCAACCUGUCUCACUGCAUCCUCUGUCUUUCUAUUCUCAAGUCUGAACCAGUGGCUUCUGGUUGAUAACUUCAGCAAGCGCAUACAAACAGAUGAGCUGAACUAUUUUAUGCCAAGGUUAAUGUACUUCACUUAAACAUUGCCUACGCUGUUGCCCUGUUGGCUGUACCUGAACAUCGAUCCAUCUGAAUUUCUGAAAUGAGUUCUUCUUCGGACAUUCGCAAAGUUUACAAAUGUUUGCAAAAACUCGUUUUUCAUUAAAAUUUUCACCCCAGGACCAACCAAUCACGUCAAGAGUCAAGAAUCUACACCUAUGCCUAAAUCUAACACACCAACAAGAGGGAAAUGGAGAAGGAAAUCAAAAGAGAAAUAAUUCGAUCGCCUGCUUUUUAUUGCAAAUUUUCUUGCAGCGUCGUCGCACUGCUGCUGCUGCUGCUGCUUUCACGGCUCCGGCUCACGGCGCCGGCGUCGUCGUCCGCUCCGACCCGCGGCUGCGAGCUGGUCUGCUCCGCGCAGCCGCUGUCGUCCUGCACCGGCGCCUUCUUCUCCUCUCCCGAGCCGGAGCCACCGCACGAGCCCGGCGCCGUUGGCACGGCUCCUAGCUCCACGACGGCUCGGCUGGCCGCCGGCAUGGCGAGGAAGGUCGGCAUCUCCUCGCCGGCCAUGAUGACCACCACGUGCUCCUGGAACCCCGCCGCCGGCCUGGCCGCGCCGGCCGCCGAUCCCUUCUCCCCGUCGGCGCCGGCCUCCCCGGCCCGCCGGUCGCGGUCGGCGUCGAGGUACCCGGACAGCUUCCAGUAGGAGCAGGCCAGGAUGAGCAGCGCGAAGGCGAUGAGCCCCAGCAUCGCCGCCAGCCCGCCGAAGAGGUACGGCACCGGCGACUGCCACGGGGAGUGCGGCGCCGUCCCGUUCGCCCCCGGCGCCGCCGUCGGCGCGCCGUGGCCCAUGGUGGGGAACUCUGCUCCUGGCCUCAUGGUUGCUCGAGUUCUUCUCUUGCAGUUCGUUAUGUGAGAGAGGACAGAGGAGAGAUCAGGGGAGUUCUUGUUCUUGCAGGUGGUGUGGGAUGGUGAGAGGGAGUGGGAGCUAUUUAUACACAGGCUGGAGAUCACAUAGGUGUGUGCAAAUGCUUGUGAAGUGUGAUGCCAAGGCCCAAGGGGGAUAACAAAAAAAGACCAAUGGGGAAAGGGUUUUAUGUUGCCAACUUUGGUUAGUUUAAUUAACCAGUUAGGUUACAUGUUGGUGCUUAAGCAGAUAAGAUGGAUAUGCUUCCAUGUCCGAGAUCAUUGUAACUUGUAGGAUAGUUAACUUGGGUGGAAUUAAGCAACCAUUGCAAUGAUGAAAAAGUUUUGGAGUUUCCUAUGGGGAUGUGAGUAAUUUAAUUUGGAUUCUACACCACGUGUUGAAGAGACAGGUUCUACUCUGCGCAGUGCGCAAGAACAGUUUUUUUUUACCCGCAAAAAGAAAAAGAAAAAGAAAAGUUAAGCUGAAGCCUUUAGCUUUGCAUGUAUCAUUGGUUCGGAGCUGGGAUAAACUUGUCAUACUCUGAAACUCAUGAUUCUGAAUUUGGUUUCUGAAAUGCAAGGGCUUAUGAUCACUUUGCUUUUGAAAAGAAGGUUGUAGAACUACACUUUUGAUUGUUAAGUCUCGAAAAUAUAACUACUGCAAGGCGCAAAAUUUGUAGGAAUUACGCAUCGAUCGCAUUGCGUGUUCAUGUGGAUGGGCAUACGUUGGCGGGAGGGAGAGGUCAUCCAGAACUGUACGAGAAUGAUUGCUUGUGCACUGAUUACUGGAAGACUCCAAACCGAAAAAUAAAAGCAAUCAAGUUAAUGAUGAGGUUUAGGAGGUACGUAAGCAUCAUCAUAUCCUAGCUUCAAUUCUUUGGCAACUAAAUUAAUGCAGAGACAGAGAUAUGCUGGUACCAACAAAGGGGAGCAUUGCAGAUGUGUCCUAAGUGUGGUACUAGCUUUAUAUAGUAUAUGUCCUACAUAAACUAACUACCUAGCUGAUCUAGCUCGGCCAAAAACCAGCAAUCCAGCAUAUUCAUAGCUUCUCAGAUACAGGAAAAAAGGGGUUCAUUUACAUGUGAUGCCUUUUCCUUUAACCCUAUGGAAAUUGAAAUGGUGUUUCUUGGAUUAAUUGUUGCAAAACUCAGGGCCUUAUUCUUUUACAGCAGGGCCUUGCUAGGGUACUCAAGGUUACCUCCUAGGAGGCAAGAGCGCAAGAACGUACCAAGCCUUCAUAUUUGGGCUCGCCUAUUAAUCGUUUUUGAUUUUCUUUUAAUUCGCAAUACAUUGGCAUAUAUUCAUUUGAACCAGGGGUUGAUUGUAUUUACAGAAGUUAGGUGAAACACAUGCAUCUUAAUAAUAACACAAGUCGUCAAUUACUACUUUCAAUGUAAUAAAGGUCAUGUCCUUAUCCUUAAGCAUCAGUUUAGCUAGCUUAAUCCAUCACUUAGUGGAGCUUUACCAACAACAAUAUGGAUUACGUCUGCCAACUUUAGCUAACAGAUCUAGCGUGGCAGAUAUGGUGAGUGGAGCAUUGAAGCAGAGCAGGUCCCAAUAGAAUGAUCGCACUCUAUAUACUUUAGAAUCACAUAUCCUGCUCUACUUGCAGUAGUAUUCCAUUAAGCCACUUUUAAUCAAAACAUAUAUUCCCUCAUUAACCUUUCCAUCAGCACUUUUUGUUUGCGAUUAUUCUUUUCGUUAACUUAAUAUGCUCAUCUAAGAGUAGUGAUGCAUCAGAAGACACCUUUUUAUUUGCAUUGCCUUCAGGAGGAUAUGUACUAUGUGCAUACAAAUGUAAACUAUACACACAGUGCAUUUCUUUGUUGUGUUGCUUGGUGUGAGCUUAUCCACAGGAGAAUGGGGGCCCACUGCCUAGGGUUUGUAUUUUAUCCAGAGACAUGGGUAUAAUGUCUCGAUUUCACAAACAUCCCCAAUGUUUUCUCUCUCCCUCUCAAAGGAAAAAGCAACACCAAUAUAUGUUUUGUAGCGCAUUUUCGAUCGAUCCAUUUGUAUCGCCGAUGAAGCUACAUGUAUAUGUGUCUAGUAUAGCUAGGCUUUGGAGUCCAUGUGAUGAAUGGAUUGAUCUGAUCAUCAUAUCCUUCAGAAGUUUUCAUUUUUUUAAAAAAAUUCAUGUUCCUCUAAAAUUACCUUGUCUUAUAUCCUCUCUGAUCGUUUUCAUGUACUCUGUUGGUUAUAUGAUUGAUGGCAGCAGUGAGCCCUUCUGAAACUUUUUUUUAAAAAAAGAAUACUCAUAUCACAUACGUAAGCUAACUAUAAAGCAAAGAUAUAUGAAUAGCAAUCAAUAAAAUUGACAUGAUGGUGAUGAGAGUGAUGCUUUAUUUAUGUGCAUCAUUUGCAAUCCAAAUGAUCAAAUAAUUUCUUAUAAAAAAUGAUCAAAUAAUUUAAUUGGGUUUACUUGCGUGUUAGGCUUUGUAGUUGUAGGAGAGAACUUUUCUCGAUCAAGUGGCAUCAUCUUACUUUGCCAUGGUGAUUGAUUCCACUCUUAAGGGAUACCAUUGGUAGCCCACAGUUUCUAAGUAAUUGUUGGCUUGUUAGUGCAUGAUGAUGAUGGCCUUGGUUUUGGCUCAAGCACGUGUUCACAUACAAGUGCAUCACCUGGGGGCUGGGGGCUGGGGGCUGGGGGCUGGGGCCUGCUGCUUUAUGUGGUUCGGCUCACAUGCAUGUUGCCACCUCUAAUUGGGUGGUUAUGCGGUACUGUCUCAGCAACGGUAGAAGUAUUAUGAGGCGUUCAUGUCGCGUUCCGUUCGGAUUUGCGUUAAAAUCAUGGUUGACUUGACUUCCAGCAACAAAUAUCGAUCUGAUGUGACACCUCUGAUGCAAAGAGUGAAAUUAAUCUAAUAUAAAACACACAAGUCUAAUUUUGGUUCAAUUCCUUUAAAUGUGGAGCCUAAUAAAUCUUGGUUCCAUUCAUUAAUUAGUCUCUGGUCUAAACAGGUCCAGCAAAAUUGUGGAAGAUUUUUACAUAAUUUCGCACAAAUCUGUCACUUCGAAUUCUUUUCUUGUACAUGUCUCAACCAACUGCCAAGUUCCUUUUUACCAAUACAUAAAUAAAAACCGAAGCAAGUUGGCACGCUUUGCAAUGAAAAAAAAUUAGGGCCUAGGAGGAUUACAUCUAGGUAGAGCUACCAUGGCUUCAAGAUUCGAUGUGGAUGUGUGGAUAGAUGGUAUAUCAAUCAAAAUUUGCGCCUGAGAUGGAAUCCGACCAACAAUCAUGUGGUGGUGGUGUGUGUGUGUAUAUCUUCAGGAGCUAGCAGGGCACAUUUUCAGAUGUGGGUGUCUCAUAAAGUCGAUCAUACCCGGAUGACCAAUGGGGUGCUGCCAAAAAACUAUUUUGGUUUUUUUUUUCUGAGAAUAAAGACUGUUGGUCUUUUAUUGAUGGCUCCAAUGAUGGGCUAGAAGCUGGUCGUAUCUUUUGCCUAAGAAUUCUCUAGAAAUACGUCCACCUGUCACACUAGAUCCUUGAGAUGUUGGUAUGUCCAUACUCUCACGUACAUACCACUGGUCCUUAGGCUACCCCUUUUCAACUGUAUGGGUUUAUGGAUCACCCUGCCAUCCUCUUUUAUUGGAUCAAUGUGGAAAUUUGUAGCCAAAUUUCUCUUAUUUCCACAUGUAAAGGGCAGCUAUCGCCGGUCAAAUAAGCCUACAAUUCUUAUGUAUAAAGACUUACUCUCUCCAUGUUUUAAGGACAUGCUAAGAUUUUAUAAAAUCACUAAAAGUGUAAUUUGACGAAUAUUUUUUCAAUAAUGCACUAUCAAUUUCUAUAAAAUUUAUAUCAUACUAAAAGAUAUAUGAAAUAUGUACCAAUGCAACUUUUAUGUACUAACCAUUGUAUUAUGAGUUGAAACUUUCGAGCAUUUAUAUUUCAGAUCCUAAUUCACCAUUUAACAAAGAAAGGGGAGCAAUUUUCAUUUGUGUUGCGAACAAAGAUGAUUCGCUCAUGAGCUGAGUGUAGCUCAAUUGAUUAGAUUUUUAGAAGUAGAACCUGUCCAACCAGAUUCAAAUUCUAGACUUAUAGCAUUGCAAUGUAUUUUGAAAAUUCUAUUUAAGGAAAUACACGCUAUGCACGUUCUAAAAAAAUAAUGUAUUUUUGGGGAAAAAAAAGAAGAUGGCUGGCCUGAUACAUGGCUUCACCGAGCAAAAACCACUUGAGCUGCAUUACUGCUAGGCUGCAAGUCUGCUAACGGUAUGUGCUCAAGUCAGGCUCUGUUGCAUGCGCUCCUGACGAAAGCAAACUCCACGCAACGCCGUCGGGGAACCGCAACCGCGCGCGCUGUUGCGUGCGUAGACGAGCCACCACCGUUGCUCCCACUAGCCACCGAACGAACCGUGGCAACACCGUCACCUAGGCAACGGCACUGUGUGUAUAACACAGAAUAACGGCAGGUGACGACAGCACUCAUCAAUCAGCCACACAUCACAGUCUCAUGCAUCCUCGUAGUACCACCUUUUUCAUAGGUCAUUUCAUACUUGCAAAUAUGAAAUUAUUUGCAAAUACUUGCAAAUAAUUUCAUGGUGGACGGAUGUUUAGAUGCUGGUUCAUUUUUUUAUAACUCGGUCAUAGUGAGGUAACUUUAACUUAGAAUAUAGAAUAGAACUAAAACAACUUACAUUUCGAAAAGAACGGAGUACUUAGCAGGGUAUUGCAGUCUCUCCACUUUUAACCGUAAUAUUUGUCUCAAAUAAUGCUUAGAUAUGAUAUUAGUAUAUAAUAUGCUAGCUUGAUCUUCAUAGCAUUGGCGGUGAGCCCGAUCCUUCAAAUCUAAGUUAUAUAUAUACUUCAUCAGUUGGAGAUGAUGAGGUCCAGCCUUCUCUUCUACUAAUAACAUAUGUAAAAUAAACAAUCCACAUCUUCUCAGUAGGAAUGCUAAAGUCCUUGUGUUGCCUGGAAACCUAAUUAACUUCACCAAUACUUCUUGGCCACAAACCCCAUACACAUGUCCUAUGCCGCCCUCAAGCACCAAACCCUAACUUCCAAUCGAAAUCUAUAAUUCUAGUGGCUGCAAUUUAUACUCUAUCGAGUCGUAUGUACCAAUCAGUUUAAUCUAAAAGCUCGAGUUAAUAAAGAAAUGUGCAAUUCACUUAUAUACUUCAACAGCAAUACAGCAUGGAUGUUUCGGCUUGAUUUUAAGCGAAUUAAUUUCCUAAACCACACAUCUAUUCUCUCUCUCUCUCUCUCUCUCUCUCUCUCUCUCCAUCCGAUGGCUGACAUUACAAGUUGGAGGUGCGCUCUUUGAUUGCCUCAGUAUGGUCACACACAAGGCACUCCAAGUAUUAGCCUGCUGACAUCUCAGAUACCAUCGACACAUCACCCUGUUGAGAUUACUAGCGUGUCGACUACAACACCGCGGGCUACAAGUUGUGCUGCACUAAUCAGCCGCAAUAACACAACAUGACUUGCCAGUUGAUGCGGAUCAUUAAGAGCACCGGAAUCCUACUACAUGAUUACAUGAACCCAAUGGCAAAACGUGGCACGAAUACAUGGAAUCCUGCAGUGUUUGUGUGCUAUUGCCAGUCACCAUCCCAAUAGCAUUUCCACUUUUUUUUUCAGCGAGCUGAAUCUGCAGUUGCAUCAUCUGAAACUGAAUUUGCUGUACACUUGCUAACCAUGUGACGUGCCAAUGCCGCUACCCAGCAGCCUUUCCCUGUGGGCUGCAGAUUCAGUGCCGCUUGGAUUUGUGCAAUGCAAGAAUCCUCCUCCACUGGCCACUGUGCUCAUGCAAAAGUCAGAGCAGAGGAACCUGACAGAUUCAUCGGCUUCUGUUUGGUGAGCUUCCUAGUGAGUUCUUGACAAUGAUGGCGAGCAUCUGAUGCUUCAGAAGAUGCCAGACUCAACGAAGUCUCAAGUCUGGGGUUAUCUGGCUCCAGGAUAUCGAUUCGGUUUCUUGCCUGAUUGAGAGUUUCAGCUCUCUCUCUUUUUUCCCAGUGAAUCGAAGUAAGAAAAUAUCUACAGAAUAAGCAGAUUUCAGAUGCAUGGAAUGGAAGUUCUUGCGUUGCAGCACGUGUUGCAGAAGGGCUGCUUAUCAAGCACUAUACAAGAAAGUGAGAUCCAUCCAUCAAAUGAUCAAAUGCAUAUGUCGUCAUCCUGAUUCCUUUUGGUAACUGAAGAUGGAUGGCAUCAUGCGACUGGAGCUCACUGGAGGAAAUGGCUGCUGAUCUGCAGCUCUUUCUUGCCACCGAUUGGCGAUUGCGGUCGAGCCGACGAAGAACCUCAGCUGCGGAAACAAUGCAUGAAAGAGACAACAGGCCUGUUCCAUGAUACAUCAGCCCUAACCCUAGCAGCCCUUGUGCACAACUGCUCUCCACUGCCGAGAUAAACAACUUUCCCUAAGCAUGAUGAGCAAGGGAGGAUAGCUUUAUCCAUGCCAUUGCGACGUCCCUUUCUGUGUGCUACUUUCAACUGCUGCUAGUGCUAGUGACACAGGCACUUGCAAUCAGGAAUAAACAAUGCUGAAACCAGAACAAAAUCUUUAUUCGACCGGCAGCUGUAGGAUCAUCUGCCAGAAAGACAAGGGCAUCGCGAUUAAGAAAUUGCGCUUCAGUCUUGUGCAUCAAGGGAAAACAAAAGAUUUGAUGCAAAUCUACUGUCAGUGAUAGGAAGGGGAAUACAUAACACUGGGGAUCAGUGCAGGUCCCAUUCAGAAGAGGAAAGUGUCCUCUAUUCAGAUGAUGGCUGCUUUACUCCAACAUAAUGAUCUGGGAGAGAUCGUUUAGCCUUUAUUAUCCGUGUGGAGCCUCAAUACAAGUCUUUCCAGUUUUCCUUGGCCAAUUGUUUUUUCUGCAGUCGCUUUAUCCAGUGCCCAACAGAGAAUUUAUUGGGAACAAAAGAGGUACAAAUAAUUGCUUGGCCUUUUUAUAAUUGAGAAAUUUCUAAAGAUGAUGUAGUUAUAAUUACUUAAAUAUACUUCUGCGGUCGGGCAGAUUAGUUGAUGCCAACUGGUGUCAUGUUUCACAUAUAGCAUGAUGUGAAGAAUAUGGCGCUAUAAAUUUUUCCCCCAUAGAAUGAAAACAUAAGAAGCUCCUUAUGUUGCUGCAUCUAUAAUGGAAUCAAUGUUUGAACUUUUACAGCAUCAGUUUAGUUGGUUUAACGUCAUCGUAUACAGCAUUUACAAUGUGCCCUCUAUUAUAGCUGGCAGUGCAUGAACAUAUUAUUAGCAGAAAUGAUUAAAAUAAGUUUGUAUCAUAAAGAAGACAUCUUUAAUCCUGAAUGUUAUAGAAACGCGCAUAUAUAUAUUGAUAGCUGUUUCACACUACAAUAUGAGCUUUGGUUCUCCAUCACAUCAUCAUAAAACCGAUGUUGCUCCUGAUACAGAUAGAUGGCUAACUGCUAAAGGAUAAGAACCUCCAUAACAAUUAUAUACAGGAAUUAUGUCUCAUACAACGAAUGAGGAUCCUAAAGUUUUGAGUCAGCUAUCCGAUCUUACUGAUGGGGCUAGGUCAGAUUCAGAAUGCUCUCUAAAAAAGAGCUCUGUCUCCAUCUCCCAAUAGUAAGGUAAAGCGGUCGACAAGACAGGAUACGCUAUAUUUAUUACGCAUUGAUUUACAAGAAAAGGACCGAUGUGAUUUCACAAAACUUUCCUAAGCUACAAAUUACCUUUCUACUUUACAAUAAUUGGUUAGUCAUUGAGAUGGCAAAUACCGCUGCAGGCAUUCUUUUAUAUUCUGAAAGUUCACAGGCUUAGAUAUGUAUGAAUCCAUGCCUGCAGCAAGGCAUUCAUCGGCACUCUCAGAAAACGAAUUUGCUGUCAUCUGCAAAGAAUCAGGAGAUUUUACAGGGUUAUAGACAUAACCUAGGCUUGGAAGAAUACAAUUUAAUAUAACACGAAGAUUCUAUUCUCCGUGUGAUCAAGAAAAUAGCAAAUAUAUGAAGUAGCAUGCAGGCAAAGCGGGGUCUUAGUUGGUAAGAGUUUAGAAUUGUGUAUAGAUAAACUUACCGCAAUUAUAGGGACCCUCUGCCCUUGCCGUUUUGCAGGUGUACAAUCUGAUGAAAUAGCAGGGUCAGCUAUCAUCUGAUCAUCUUCAGGCUUUACAGAAGCGUCCCAAUAGCCGGUGUUCUCAAAAGAACGUAUAUGUUUAGUGGCUUGUAGGCCAUCCAUUUCUGGCAUGUGAACAUCCUAUCAAGGAGAAACCAUUACAUUUUGAUUAGAGUGGAAGCAAAAUAUUGUAACAUAUAACAGACAUUUUCACUUGGGUUCGUGGCAUAUAAAUAUUGAUAUCAAACCACAAGGUGCUGUCAUGAUUUAAAAGUUCUUUUUUUUUUCCUAUGGUAGUACAGGACUACCAAGACUAACACCUGUACUAUUUCACUAGUGAGAUGGGAAAAAAUGAAGAAUAGUAACUCUUAACAGUAUUGGUGAAGUGCUUCGAACCAUUAUCCAAGGUGUACCAAGCCAAUUUCGAUGGUUGGCAUAACCUUUUGCCUAUAAUUCAUCUCAUUGGUGUAUAUCUUAUUAGCACAAAAUCAAGAAGUUCGUUUGAUGUUGAGGUGAGGCAAUUGUGAACUAAAAUGACAACAUCUUAUAAGGAUGAAUUGAAGUAAAUACAAAAAAAAAA